CCUAUUUUUUGCUAGUCACCUGCAUGCCAUUUUUUGCAAGAUUUGAUCUAAAUUAAUCGAUGACUGAAAGUAUGUCCCUAUGUUUGGGAAGAACAAGAUGUUUCUUCAGAACAGAGCAACUUAACUUCACUGAUAUGUUUAUUUACUCAUUCAACAGAAUUCAUUAAGCACUGCCCUGUUACAGAAACUGUGCUUGCGUAUGGCAAAUAGCCUCUCCAGAGCAAAAGAGCGAGCAUAAUUUCCAGCUUUGCCCAGCUGGAGAGGAGCCCUCUAGUUACAGGAGUGUCCAGUGAUGGCUCUUCUUGGGCCUGGAGUUCCUCCUUGAGCUAACUUGCCUCCCACGCGCAACGUCUACACGUAAUUCCAGUUACUGUUCCGUGAUAGGCCCCUGGGUUCUCCUGUUCUCCCGCACUUCCGGUUCCCGUCUAUCCGUCAAAAUAGCUCUGCUUUCAACUGGACCUCCUUCACGUAGAGGAUCUUCCUGCCUUUUCAUUGUCUUUCUGUGACAAAGUCACCAAAACACAUGCCUCAUUCUCUUUGGGAAUUUACUUUUUGGAGGGAAUUUUCCUUCUGUAUCAGUUGGAUCUAAGUUACUGUCCUGGCCCUUCUGUGUGGCUGCAAUUUAGGAAUCCAGGGUUCCUGGCCUUCAUCAAUGCCUCUGAGGUUCCCCAUGUGGGCCUGCAACAUCUGGGAAACUGCCACCUCCCAGCAGGCACAGCGUGCGGAUGGGACUCUGACACACCGGAAGCCAAGCUGUCUGACGCCAGGGGCUCUUCAGAGGUACAGUGGUGGCUGUGCAGCUGUCCCUCCAAUGGCAGCUUUAAUUUCUCUGCAGGAUGUUCUGCAUCAGCUCUCAGUGCAUCCAGGGUCAUAGCUGUCAAAACCGCAUACAAUCGGCUAUUUGUUUCGCGUCUCAGAACCGUCUCCGGAUUCUGUUCACCGCUGUCCGCUUUAAAGCUUCAUCUCUGUUAG
rnacentral:lncRNA from 1 species